UCUCUACCUGGAGUUCUCUCCUUUGGAGUGUUUUGCAGGCCCUGAUCCUUGGGAUGGUACAGCAAGAAGCUCUUGCAUCACUUCUGAGCAUCAUCUCCUCAAGGAAAGGGCUGGGAGAUCAGGGAAGGGCGCUGUAAGCUCAACCGAGGGCUGAGGGUUAUGAGUGAGCUUCCUAGCUCGUGGAGGUCUUUGUGGUUGGGUGCAUGGCAGGGCCAUGUAUCAACAUCUAUUGACUUUUGUAGGCAGUUUCCAUUGGUCAGGGCCAAGUCUGGGACCUGAAAUGAACAAGGAAGGUUGGUGUAACUUCAGGAACACUCAAGAGACCUUGCUCAGAUGAUGAUAACUUGUUGUCUUAGACUAGUUGCAGUCUCCUGUUGACCUGCAGCAUACCAAGAAGGAGCAGGAUUUCUGCAAAUAGCAGUUGGUUGCCUCGUGACAUCUCUUGCACUAAGAGCAGAGGGAUUUGUACAGCAGUCUUCCAAAUGGGGUGGCCACAUCCCUUGCUGUGCUAAGGAAAAUGUCCCAAGAGCCUGCAGAGAAGUUCUGAUAAGACAAAUAAAACCCACCAGUUUAGCUAAAAACUACAGCUGAAAAAACAUCAUUUUGAUUAGAUGGCUGGAGAUGGGGGCUGGAGAAACAGUUUCCAGCCACAGGUGUAUAGAAGCAUUUACAGAGAGGAGCUCUGUGCACCUGCUGCUCUACCUAUUGGUGGUUCGGAGGGCUAUGGAGGGGAGGAUUUGGGCCCUUGAGAGCACUUUGUCAGCUCAGCUGGCUCCCUCCAGUCAAUUAAAAAGCACUAUGGGUUGGCUUGGAGGACAAGCCAGCAACUGAACCAAGAGCAAAUUAAUGCAAGGAGGAAGGGGAGUUCUCUGCCACUCGGCAGCCUGUGCAGCCCUGACAUGAAGCAAACUCAGAGGGAAGUGGAGCUGAGACCUGUUCUGCUUUUCUCUAAUUAAAUUAUAUUACAUAAGAUGGGGACUGGGAGAGUCUGCUACGAGCUGGCCAGUUUAGCAGGAUGCCACAGGCAGGUCAGACUGCAGCCUUCCUCAGCAAUUUGGUGUCUGGACUCACAGGAAGGAAGACUUUUUUUUUGAGUGACAUGGGGGCACUGAAUCAGAGGUAGAACCAUGGGAACCUGCAUUAGCAAGUUUCAGCUCUCAGCUUCUUUUAUUGUCAGUGGAAUGAAAGAUGUAACAUUCUC
ensembl:lncRNA